UCAUAAGUAUUAAAAACAAAGCCCUUUUCUACCCAGUCAAUUGCUUCUAAAUUACAUGAGUUAUUAUUUAAAAUGGACUUCAUCUUUUAUCAUCCAUUUGAGAUAUUACUAUCCAUUUGAGACUGCAGGAGUUAUCACAUAUCUAAAGUGACAUUUUUAUCUUCAAUAAAUUCUAAUUCAGUUCAUACAUUAACUGGAGAAACACAAUUUUAGGGUGCUUAAUCAAAAUGCUUUAUGGAUUCUUCAUUCCAUACUAGUAAUAGCAUGAUGCUUUAACAAAAAUAGUAAUUAAAAUAAUUG
rnacentral:lncRNA from 1 species